rnacentral:ncRNA from 2 species
GAUAUAUCAAGAGUGGACGAGAGACCUGGCUCUAGGACUCCACGGCAACCUGCCGAUCGGCAAGGUGCUCCGACCAGCAAAGCAGUUGCUUUGGAUGAUACACA